AAAAAAAAACUACUGUACCGUAAAAUGACAGACAAGGAAUAAUUUCUUAACUUAUGAUCGUUAUCGGCAAAAUCUGGAAUUCCCGUGAUCCGUUAACAGUCCCUUCUGGUGUCUGGAGUAAAGUUGUAAGUUCUUUUGGCAAAACGCCAGGGGUAGUGUUAAUAAGAUGGGGACCUUAACAAUUGAGAUUAUAAAUCUAAUGUUUUCAAGAAGGGCGCGUCAUUUCAUUAAACGUUUCCAUACAAGGUGGAAGGAUUUUAGUCGCAUUUAUCGCAAACAUUUGAUAUGAAACAUUUAUCCAACGAAGAUGAAUUGGAAAAGACUAAAUUUAUCAAUGGAAGAGAACAGCAACACGUUCACCUAGAUUUCAGCAGAUCUGUUGACCAAACGAGACUGGGUAGAUGGAAGAAGUUGAGGCUGAUCCUCCUCGUCGGAUUUUUGGUGGGAUGGACUUUGUUGAUUGCCACUGUGGUCAUUAUGGUCCUGACUCCAAAACAUCCUUUCCGACCCGACCUAAAAUGGUACGACAAGAACAUUGUGUACGAAAUCCUGCCUGAAUCUUUCCAAGAUUCAAGUGUUAAAGAUGUUCACACUAAGAAGGGAGAUGGAGUUGGGGACCUCAAAGGAAUUUUGGCUCGUUUGGAUUACCUGAAGGAUAUUGGUAGCAAAGUCCUAUAUAUCAACUCAAUAUAUGAAAGCAACGACGAGGAUCAUAAAGCAAUUGUCAAUCAUACAAAAAUUGAUGAAAUAUAUGGCUCUAUGGAAGACUUUGUAGAACUUCGUAAGGUCACUAAAGAGAUGAAAAGUAUGAUAAGUAUAUAUUGCAAUGUGCCUCUUCAUAAACUCAUAUCCUGUUUUUAUUUUUAUUUGUUCUUACUGUGUAACGUGUCCCAAAAUUUCAUAGUCAGGUAAUCUAGAUGCAUAGCUCAAAGCUUUUUUCAUGUGUAUCAUAUUUUUUCCUAUAUAUUCAAUCAAGUGCGACUGAUCAUGGACUUCAUUCCAAACCACACAGGAAAACAAAACCAGUGGUUCUCAAAGAGUCAAAAGAAAGAAGGAAAAUAUACUGACUAUUUCAUCUGGACCACCUGUGAUCCACAGACAUAUCGCCAUGACUUAAUGGUUAUAGGUAGAGGAGCGUGGACGUAUGACGACACCAGAAAAGAGUGCUACUUCCAUCAGUUGGAGAGCGACAAGCCAGAUCUAAACCUCAGGAGUGCAGACGUCAGACAGGAACUUGAGAGCAUAUUGCGUUUCUGGUUAGACAAAGGAGUGGAUGGGUUUCAUGUCCAGGAUCAGCAUCUCUACGAGGACGAAAUCCUGGGAAAUGAGACUUUUGUUAAUGGGAAAACAGACAGUGAACACCAAGACUUAAAUCGCAGCGAUGAUAUGAAUCAUGCCAAGUUGCUGAAAGCCUGGAAGACUGUGUUGGAGUCGUACAAUACCAAGCCAGGCAGAGAAAAGGCUCUUAUUGUGACGGCUAAAGAUGAUCUGAACACAACCAAGGAGUACUUUGAUGCAGGAGUCACCAUUGUACGAGUCACCCCAUUGUCCGUGAGUGGCGCUUCAUUGGCUGAGAGCAAUACUUCAUUGGCUGAACGCAUAGAGACCAAACUGAAAAAUGCCAAUUCCAAUUUUAAGAAAAUCGGAUGGAUGUAUGGUGACAAAUAUUCCAGUCGAUUAACCAACAGUUUGGUUGGCCCAGUACAAAUUAAAGUUUUGUUGACUCUACAAGCCACUCUGCCGGGAGUCCCAUUUAAUUACUACGGGAACGAGAUCGGGAUGACUGACCACCUCACACUGUCUGCCCCAAAGAAGUACAGGACUCCGAUGCAGUGGAACUCUAAAGGAACAGGAUUCUCCCAAAAUACUCCAUGGGUGGAUCGAAAUGCUAACUACAUUACAAUCAAUGUUGAGACUGAAAAGGCAACUGGAGAUGAAUACACCACUCUUAAGGUGUACAAAAGGCUUCAGGAACUGAGAGAGAAUGAGUCAUUCCAGUGGGGAACGAUGAGUGUGUAUAGAGAUGGAGACCUCCUGAUGUACACCAGAAAGGCCGAUGGAUUCCCGGGAUACCUGGUGGCCAUUAACCUCGGAACCAGUAGGGUGACCGGAUCUUUCCAUGCAGCCACCGGAAUUCCCAAGGAAAUCAAGGUGGUCUUCCAUACUCACAAGGACGACAACAGCGCCAUCAGUUUGUCCGAUACUUCCUACAUACUGAAUCCAAGUCAUGCAGUUGUUUUGGAAUAUCAAUAAAUAUCUUAUGAUUU
rnacentral:misc_RNA from 1 species